rnacentral:rRNA from 1 species
UACGUAGGUGGCAAGCGUUGUCCGGAUUUACUGGGUGUAAAGGGCGUGUAGGCGGAGCGGCAAGUCAGAUGUGAAAUCUCGGGGCUUAACCCUGAAACUGCAUUUGAAACUGUCGCCCUUGAGUAUCGGAGAGGCAGGCGGAAUUCCUAGUGUAGCGGUGAAAUGCGUAGAUAUUAGGAGGAACACCAGUGGCGAAGGCGGCCUGCUGGACGACAACUGACGCUGAGGCGCGAAAGCGUGGGGAGCAAACAGG